CUACGGAGGGUGCAAGCGUUACUCGGAAUCACUGGGCGUAAAGCGCGCGCAGGCGGGCUGAUAAGUUGGAUGUGAAAGCCUACGGCUCAACCGUAGAACUGCAUCCAAAACUGUCAGUCUAGAGUGUGGGAGAGGAAGAUGGAAUUAGUUGUGUAGGGGUAAAAUCCGUAGAGAUAACUAGGAAUACCAAAAGCGAAGGCAAUCUUCUGGAACACUACUGACGCUGAGGCGCGAAGGCGUGGGGAGCAAACAGGAUUAGAAACCCCUGUAGUCC
rnacentral:rRNA from 1 species